CGGUGUAGGCGUUAGAAUAUUGAGAGGAGCCUUCUUUAGUACGAGAGGACCGAGAAGGACAUACCUCUGGUGUACCAGUUAUCGUGCCAACGGUAAACGCUGGGUAGCUAUGUAUGGAGUGGAUAACCGCUGAAAGCAUCUAAGUGGGAAGCCAGCCUUAAGAUGAGAUGUCCCACCCUUCAUGGGGUAAGACUCCCGGUAGACCACCGGGUUAAGAGGCCAGAAGUCCAAGCACAGCAAUGUGUUGAGCUGACUGGUGCUCAUCAGUCGAGGUCUUGAC
rnacentral:rRNA from 1 species